UACGGAGGGUGCAAGCGUUAUCCGGAUUCACUGGGCUUAAAGGGUGCGUAGGUGGGCAGGUAAGUCAGUGGUGAAAUCUCCGGGCUUAACCCGGAAACUGCCGUUGAUACUAUCUGCCUUGAAUAUCGUGGAGAUGAGCGGAAUAUGUCAUGUAGCGGUGAAAUGCUUAGAUAUGACAUAGAACACCGAUUGCGAAGGCAGCUCGUUACACGGUUAUUGACACUGAGGCACGAAAGCGUGGGGAUCAAACAGG
rnacentral:rRNA from 1 species